UUGGGAGCUCACUAGCUUCGGAUUCCGUCGGAACUCCGAAGUUAAGCGAGAAGAAGGCCAGAGCACUCCCAAGAUGGGUGACCCACUGGGAAGUUGCUCGUGAGUUCCCAAAAACAAAAUCGUGAGGGCUUGGUAAGCCCAAAGCGGAUAAUAUCGUGCUACGGUGGUGGAACGGGCUCGGAUGUGGUGGACCCGGGCCGGGAUGUGACAAAUGGUAUCAGAGCCAAUCUCUGGCCGGAAGUGUGCCGACGAGGACGUCGGGCCCCUUAGAGGGGUGAUUGUAACAUCCCACAUCGCCCAAGGGAGUGAUCUUUAAAUGUAUAUUCCUAUUCCUACCUAGCACGAGGCUUUUUGGGAGUUCACUGGCUUCGGAUUUCGUUGGAACUCCGAAGUUAAGCGAGAAGGAGGCCAGAGCACUCCCAAGAUGGGUGACCUACUGGGAAGUUGCUCGUGAGUUCCCAAA
rnacentral:sRNA from 1 species